GCGAUGGCUCAGUUUGUAGAGCAUCUGUCUGGUAAGCGGAAGGUCGCCGGUUCGAUCUCGGCAAGAAUGCA
rnacentral:tRNA from 1 species